GGCCUGCUGGGGCGAGAUGACGUGUACGUGACCGUCGAUACCGCCUGCCGUGAGGAUCAGGUGCUCGCCCGAAAUGGCGUCGGUCGCCGCACCCGUAAUCAGCUCGGGCGAAACACCCUCCAUAGUGUUGGGGUUGCCCGCCUUGCCCAGACCCGCAAUGCGACCGUUUUUGAUACCCACGUCAGCCUUCACCACGCCCUGAAUCGGGUCGAUGACCGUCACGUUGGUGAUCACCAGAUCGAGCGCACCCUCGUCCGAGGUGAUCGUGUUUGCCAGACCCAUACCGUCGCG
rnacentral:sRNA from 1 species